AAAAUCCGUCGACUUUAAAAAUCGUGAGGGUUCUCCCUCUAUCCCCA
rnacentral:tRNA from 1 species